rnacentral:rRNA from 1 species
UACGUAGGGUGCGAGCGUUGUCCGGAAUUACUGGGCGUAAAGAGCUUGUAGGUGGUUUGUCGCGUUGUUCGUGAAAUCUCACGGCUCAACUGUGAGCGUGCGGGCGAUACGGGCAGACUAGAGUACUGCAGGGGAGACUGGAAUUCCUGGUGUAGCGGUGAAAUGCGCAGAUAUCAGGAGGAACACCGAUGGCGAAGGCAGAUCUCUGGGCCGUAACUGACGCUGAGGAGCGAAAGCAUGGGGAGCGAACAGG